rnacentral:rRNA from 1 species
GGUACCUUAUACAAAAUAAGGUGGCACAGAAUCGGAGGCCCCGACUGUUUACUAAAAACACAACACAGUGCAAUCAUAAAUAUGGUAGUAUACUGUGUGAAAUUUGCCCGAUGCCAUUAAUAUAAGAAAAGUUAUGGAUUUGUUUAUUAAAACAAUACUGUGACCUAUCGAAAAUCUGGUUAAUAGCGGUCUUAACCCUUGAGGAUCCUAAGGUAGCAAAAUCAAUUGGCCAUUAAAUGUGGUCCGGUAUCAAUAAUGUAACGAUGGUCUCACUGUCUCUACAACUUGCUCAGUGAAAUUGAAUUACGCGUGCAGAUGCGCGUUGCCUCCAGGGGGACGGGAAGACCCUAUGCAGC